rnacentral:snRNA from 1 species
UCCCCUUUUCCUUUUUCUCAGAUCAGAUGGAUCAUCUGUUCUUGCUAGUUUGAUCACUAGCAGUCCUGUUACGACAGGACAUUAUGAUUAUUUUAAUUUUUGAAAACUCGUGACUUGGCCUCUGUGCUUGCAUAUGCCUCGUUGCACAGUGUCACUGGGCUCACACUACCCCCGGUUGACACACCCUUGU